ensembl:lncRNA
GACAGACCCCGUAGAGACUGAGAGAAAGAGAUGGUUCCUGCCCUUGAUGGGCUCACAGUCUAGUGAGGGCUGCCCACUGAUGCAUCUCCAGGGCUUGUACACUCGAUGACUAUUUGUUGAAUGAAAGAACAAAUGAAGACACUGCAUUAUAAUGUGGAACCUGAUCAACAUUAGGUGCCAGAGCAGAAGGACAAAGCCAGUGAGGAGUGAGAUGCCCAGAGGGCAAGGGAGAUGAGGAAGAGCAGGAGCUGAAGAAGUGGCCCAAGGAGAGGACCAGGAGAGGUAGAGUGACUUCUCUGAUCUGGAGCUGUGGGAAGAACAAACUGGGCAUGACUGAAUCACAUUCACCCUUCCUCCUCUUGGGGAUGAGCUGCCCUCAGGAAGCAGGUGUUCCUCUUGGUUCUUCUAGGGGAAGGCUUGACCCAUCAAACCCAACUGCCUGCAUCAGGUUGGAGAGGAGAAAACUGAAGUGGAGAGCAGUUAAGGAACAUGCUUGGGGUCCCGUGACCACUGAGUGGAUGAGUCAGAAGUCAACCCCUGCAUUAUCUGCCUCUGGGAGCUCAGCCCUGAGCACGUGGCUACCUGCAGCAAAGCAGAACUGCAUAGGAGCACAGAUGAGUUGAGACCAAGGAUGCUAAUUAGGCUUGGCUCCCUCAGCGUGAUAAAGCAAACUGACCAAUCUACUCUUUGGAAGCAGAAGAUGGGAAAGAGGCCACUUCUGAGAUGACUGUGCACCCAGAGACAGACUCUUGUUUCAUGUAACUUGUCUGUGAAAAUUCCUCUAGAUGAAUGCAGGAGGGAAUCUGGGCAAGUCCUAGAGCAGGAUAGAGAUGUUUGAAAAUCCUUUCAGAGUUAACUUAGACUAAGCAACGUAGAUGCCUCUCCCAUCCGCCCCAUUUCUGCAAAUUUCUGCCAAAAAAUAUGACCCUCUGUCUCACAGAAUUCUUAGUGUGCUGGAAGACUCCAGAAUGAUAUGCAGAGGAAGUAUUGCUGCUUCUCACAGCGGACCAUUCAGAACCUCAUGGACACUUUUCUUUUGAUUAUUUUCUUGUGGAAUUAUUUUUUUUUAUUAAUUUAAUUAUUUUUAUUGCAGUAACAUUGGUUUAUAACACUAUAUAAAUUUUGGGUGUACAUCAUUAUAUUCCGAUUUCUAUGUAGAUUACAUCAUGUUCACCACCCAAAGACUAAUUGCAAUCCAUCACCACACACACGUGUCUAAUCACCCCUUUUGUCCUUCUCCCUCUAAGACCGAUGUCAAAGAGUGUACAGCCUAUACUUUCUUCUAGGAGUUUUAUGGUUUCAGGUCUUACCAUCAAGUCUUCGAUCCAUUUUGAGUUAAUUUUUGUGUAUAGCCAAAGAUAAUGGUCUGCUUUCAUUCUUUUGUAUGUGGCUGUCCAGUUUUCCCAACAUCAUUUAUUGAAGAGACUUUCCUUUCUCCAUUGUAUUUUCUUAGCUCCUUUGUCAAAGAUUAGCUGUCUAUAGAUGUGUGGUUUUAUUUCUGGGCAUCCAAUUCUGUUCCAUUGAUCUGUGUGCCUGUUUUUGUAACAGUACAAUGCUGUUUUGAUUACUAUGGCUUUGCAGGAUAUUUUGAAGUCAGAGAUUGUGAUCCCUCCAGCUUCGUUCUUUUUUCUCAGGAUUGCUUUAGCUGUUUGGGGUCUUUUAUGGCCCC